rnacentral:rRNA from 1 species
GCUAGGGGAGCAAACGGGAUUAGAUACCCCGGUAGUCCUAGCCGUAAACGAUGGGCACUAGGUGUGGGAGGUAUCGACCCCUUCCGUGCCGCAGCUAACGCAUUAAGUGCCCCGCCUGGGGAGUACGGCCGCAAGGUUGAAACUCAAAGGAAUUGACGGGGGCCCGCACAAGCGGUGGAGCAUGUGGUUUAAUUCGACGCAACGCGAAGAACCUUACCAGGGCUUGACAUCCCGCGAAUCCCUUCGAAAGAAGGGAGUGCCCGCAAGGGAGCGCGGAGACAGGUGGUGCAUGGCUGUCGUCAGCUCGUGUCGUGAGAUGUUGGGUUGAGUCCCGCAACGAGCGCAACCCUCCCCUCUUGUUGCCACCAGGUCAUGCUGGGCACUCUAGAGGAACUGCCCCGGUCAACGGGGAGGAAGGCGGGGAUGACGUCAAGUCAUCAUGCCCCUUACGUCCUGGGCUACACACGUGCUACAAUGGCCGGUACAAAGGGAUGCCACACCGCGAGGUAGAGCUAAACCCAAAAAGCCGGUCUAAGUUCAGAUUGGAGUCUGCAACUCGACUCCAUGAAGGAGGAAUCG